rnacentral:rRNA from 1 species
UACGUAGGGUCCGAGCGUUGUCCGGAAUUACUGGGCGUAAAGAGCUCGUAGGCGGUUUGUCGCGUCUGCUGUGAAAUCCCGAGGCUCAACCUCGGGUCUGCAGUGGGUACGGGCAGACUAGAGUGUGGUAGGGGAGAUUGGAAUUCCUGGUGUAGCGGUGAAAUGCGUAGAUAUCAGGAGGAACACCGGUGGUGUAGACGGCUCUCUGGACCGUAACUGACGCUGAGGCACGAAAGCGUGGGUAGCAAACAGG